GAUGAACGCUGGCGGCGUGCCUAAUACAUGCAAGUCGAGCGAACGGACGAGAAGCUUGCUUUUCUGAUGUUAGCGGCGGACGGGUGAGUAACACGUGGAUAACCUACCUAUAAGACUGGGAUAACUUCGGGAAACCGGAGCUAAUACCGGAUAAUAUUUUGAACCGCAUGGUUCAAAAGUGAAAGACGGUCUUGCUGUCACUUAUAGAUGGAUCCGCGCUGCAUUAGCUAGUUGGUAAGGUAACGGCUUACCAAGGCAACGAUGCAUAGCCGACCUGAGAGGGUGGUCGGCCACACUGGAACUGAGACACGGUCCAGACGCCUACGGGAGGCAGCAGUAGGGAAUCUUCCGCAAUGGGCGAAAGCCUGACGGAGCAACGCCGCGUGAGUGAUGAAGGUCUUCGGAUCGUAAAACUCUGUUAUUAGGGAAGAACAUAUGUGUAAGUAACUGCGCACAUCUUGACGGUACCUAAUCAGAAAGCCACGGCUAACUACGUG
rnacentral:rRNA from 1 species